AACGAACGCUGGCGGCAGGCUUAACACAUGCAAGUCGAGCGCAUCCUUCGGGGUGAGCGGCAGACGGGUGAGUAACGCGUGGGAAUCUACCUUUUGCUACGGAAUAGCUCCGGGAAACUGGAAUUAAUACCGUAUGUGCCCUUAGGGGGAAAGAUUUAUCGGCAAGAGAUGAGCCCGCGUUGGAUUAGCUAGUUGGUGGGGUAAAGGCCUACCAAGGCGACGAUCCAUAGCUGGUCUGAGAGGAUGAUCAGCCACAUUGGGACUGAGACACGGCCCAAACUCCUACGGGAGGCAGCAGUGGGGAAUAUUGGACAAUGGGCGCAAGCCUGAUCCAGCCAUGCCGCGUGAGUGAUGAAGGCCUUAGGGUUGUAAAGCUCUUUCACCGGAGAAGAUAAUGACGGUACCCGGAGAAGAAGCCCCGGCUAACUUCGUG
rnacentral:rRNA from 1 species